GCGGCGGCGGCGGCGGCGGCGGAGCUGGGCAGGUGGAUGCGGCUGGAAGAUGGCGCCCUCGGGCCCCGGCAGCGUCAGGCGGCGAUGCCGGCGCGUCCUGUACUGGAUCCCCGUGGUGUUCAUCAGCCUUCUGCUCGGCUGGUCCUACUACGCCUACGCCAUCCAGCUGUGCAUAGUGUCCAUGGAAAAUAUUGGCGAACAAGUUGUGUGCCUGAUUGCUUAUCAUCUACUUUUUGCAAUGUUUGUCUGGUCGUAUUGGAAAACUAUCUUUACAUUACCAAUGAAUCCUUCAAAAGAAUUCCAUCUCUCUUAUGCAGAAAAAGAAUUGCUAGAGAGAGAGCCAAGAGGAGAAGCCCAUCAGGAAGUUCUUAGGCGAGCAGCCAGAGACCUUCCCAUCUACACCAGGACCAUGUCUGGAGCAAUCCGCUAUUGUGACAGAUGCCAACUUAUAAAACCAGAUCGCUGCCAUCACUGUUCCGUCUGUGAUAAAUGUAUUUUGAAGAUGGAUCAUCAUUGCCCAUGGGUGAACAAUUGUGUUGGAUUUUCAAAUUAUAAAUUUUUCCUCCUUUUCUUGGCUUAUUCUCUGCUGUACUGCCUUUUUAUUGCUGCUACAGAUUUACAGUAUUUUAUCAAAUUUUGGACCAAUGGCCUACCUGAUACUCAAGCCAAGUUCCAUAUUAUGUUUUUAUUCUUUGCUGCAGCUAUGUUUUCUGUCAGCUUGUCUUCUCUGUUUGGCUAUCAUUGUUGGCUAGUCAGCAAAAAUAAAUCUACACUAGAGGCAUUUAGAAGUCCAGUAUUUCGACAUGGAACAGAUAAGAAUGGAUUCAGCUUGGGUUUCAGUAAAAAUAUGCGACAGGUUUUUGGUGAUGAGAAGAAGUACUGGUUGCUACCCAUUUUUUCAAGUCUAGGUGAUGGCUGCUCCUUUCCAACUUGCCUUGUUAACCAGGAUCCUGAACAGCCAUCUACUCCUGCAGGAUUGAAUUCAUCAUCUAAAAAUCCUGAAAACCAUCAAUUUCCUGCAAAGCCAUUGAGAGAGUCCCAGAGCCACCUUCUUACUGAUUCUCAAUCUUGGACAGAGAACAGCACAAACCUGGGAAAAGGUAAAGCUGGUAAUCAGUGCUGUCGAUGGAUGGAAGAGGCUUCCCGCAGGAAGGCACCACUAGCUAGCUGUUCCCAUCCCCUCUGGCUGGAUAUGCAGAAUUAGUGUCCCGAUUUGUAUCAAGUGGACAUCACUGAAGGGAUGAGUUCAAGUAGGCUUGUUUCAAAGGAACUCCUGUGGAUCACAAACUAUGAACAUGAAGUAUCUCCCAGCACGAUGUUCAGUAUAGCAGGAGGCUCUGAAAUAGGAUGUUUUUUCCAUCUUCCAAAAAAAAGGAUGCAAGAAGUAGAGAAUAUGGAUGAGCCCUGGAGUAAUGGCUAGAAAGAAUCAACAGGAGGACAGUCUGUAUACAGAUGUAUACUUCAGAAGCAACACUGAUGUGGCCAAGAGAAAGUCCUCUGGAGUUCUUCCAUUAGUAAUGUGUAUGACCUUGGAUAAAGGCUACCUGCAUCUGGCCUCAGUUUCCUCACCUAAGAAAUAAUAUGGUUGGACCUACAUGACUUCUAAGAUUUUGAUGUUCUCAGCCUAACCACCAAGUGGGAAAAACGCACUGGAGUCUGCAUACUUCUCUCAUUUUGAAAAAGGCCAUCCCUGUGAGCAACGAG